AACCUAAACAAAAUAUAUAAAUCAUUUGCAUAAAUCGAAAAACGUGUUUGGCACAAAUAUCACCAAUCCGCAAAAUAAAUCAAAAAACUAAGAUCGACUCAUACAACUCUCACAACAAAUCAAAAAAUGGUCAACUCCCACCGGAACAUAAAACGGAGACGUCGUGGACUGAUCACGUCGCCACAGAAAGUGUCGUGCCUUGGUAUCAAGAGAACAUAACUGUGAUAUUCCACGUGUGGUUAUAGCUCAUGUAUACCCUGCGAUAUAUUCUAACAAAUAUAUCAUGUCACAACAUAUACGAUACAAUAUCAGCACAAAGUGUUCUAAGUGUACAUGUAACACAGAAAAAAUAUAAAUACGAAACUUCAAAGAUACGUUAACAUGUACAUCUCUAAAAGAUUAAAAUAAAU
rnacentral:lncRNA from 1 species